GAUGCUGGUGGCUCUUUCCAACGAGCCUCCUUGUUGUUUGACCACAACUCCUGCUUAUAUUGUUUUAGCUGGGGAAAACGUCUAAAAGAACUGGAUUCAUCCUUCUAAACCGGUUCAUCCCUUUUGCCUUUUGGUGCGAAACCAACAGCAGGUGACUUCGCCGUUUCCUGGUUUCUGCAAUAAGCAGUUUUCCAGCACCAGGUGCUGAGGCCACGAAGGUGAACUGGCGCUGGCACCUGUGUCCAGGGAGGGUCACAUGGCCACGCCCUCAGAAGGAUAGCAGACUGCUUGUUAGCUGGUCAGGAAAAAUUUCAUUAAAAAAAUAUGAGAGACGUGAGCCGAGCCUGACAACAGGGGACCUCCGUCCUACCCGGCGUCUCUGGACACCCGGAAACACCGCAGCCCCUGCACACAGAGAAGACAAGCAGCAGAUUACAGUGCGACCGUAGGGUGAACAGCCACAGGGAUGCUUUCCAGGAGCGAGAAGCUGGUGGAAGCCUUCAAACCCACCCGACAGGCGCAGGACUCGGCUUGGGGCGCAGCCGGCAGUGUCUCCGCAUCCACCAUCCACCGUCUUUGUUCCCUCAGAAGCCAGCCAGGCCGCGCCCACCCUCCCCGCGGGGAGAAAAAAAUAGCAGAAGUGGAGGCUGCUACUCCCGCCUGCCUGGCUGCACGGCCCCCAGCACUGG